rnacentral:misc_RNA from 1 species
GGAAUAAAAGUCGUAAUAAGGUUUCCGUAGGUGAACCUGCGGAAGGAUCAUUAUUGUAUAACCGAGGUGCGAGGGCUGUCGCUGACCCGAAAGGUCGUGCACGCCCGAGUGCCCUCACACACAUCCAUCUCACCCCUAUGUGCACCACCGCGUGGGUCCCCCUUUGGCUUGUUCGGAGGGGGGCUUACGUUUUCACACAAACUUUGUAUGCAGUGUAGAAUGUAUUUUUUGUUUUUGCGAUCACGCAAUCAAUACAACUUUCAACAACGGAUCUCUUGGCUCUC